GAGUUUGAACCUGGCUCAGGACGAACGCUGGCGGCGUGCCUAAUACAUGCAAGUCGAGCGAGCUUGCCUAGAUGAUUUUAGUGCUUGCACUAAAUGAAACUAGAUACAAGCGAGCGGCGGACGGGUGAGUAACACGUGGGUAACCUGCCCAAGAGACUGGGAUAACACCUGGAAACAGAUGCUAAUACCGGAUAACAACACUAGACGCAUGUCUAGAGUUUGAAAGAUGGUUCUGCUAUCACUCUUGGAUGGACCUGCGGUGCAUUAGCUAGUUGGUAAGGUAACGGCUUACCAAGGCAAUGAUGCAUAGCCGAGUUGAGAGACUGAUCGGCCACAUUGGGACUGAGACACGGCCCAAACUCCUACGGGAGGCAGCAGUAGGGAAUCUUCCACAAUGGACGAAAGUCUGAUGGAGCAACGCCGCGUGAGUGAAGAAGGGUUUCGGCUCGUAAAGCUCUGUUGGUAGUGAAGAAAGAUAGAGGUAGUAACUGGCCUUUAUUUGACGGUAAUUACUUAGAAAGUCACGGCUAACUACGUGCCAGCAGCCGCGGUAAUACGUAGGUGGCAAGCGUUGUCCGGAUUUAUUGGGCGUAAAGCGAGUGCAGGCGGUUCAAUAAGUCUGAUGUGAAAGCCUUCGGCUCAACCGGAGAAUUGCAUCAGAAACUGUUGAACUUGAGUGCAGAAGAGGAGAGUGGAACUCCAUGUGUAGCGGUGGAAUGCGUAGAUAUAUGGAAGAAC
rnacentral:rRNA from 1 species